GCCCACUUCCCGUCGCCACCCCCAACGGCCUGAGCUCCCCCGGAGCCUCACUCGGGCCUUUCCUCAUACCCUCCUGUCUGCUCCACGUGGGGCGCCGGGGCCUCGAACCGCCCGUCCCCUCCAGCCGAGUUUCCCCACCCGCCAGGCCACCGCGGCGUCGGGGUCCCAUACCUGAUGCUGUUGUCGCCCCUGCUGGCGCCCGACGCAUUUGCAUCAUCAUGCUGCGACGAGCUGAUAGGCAAAGAGGAAGGACUGGUCGAGUCCAUGCUCUCGGCCGCGCGGCACGCUGGGAAACGUAGUUCAACAACGGAACGCGGAUUCUCGGAAAGGAAGAGAGACGGGGAAGGAGAUCUUCGGGGCGCCGCAGAGGCACAAAGCCAAGGGAUACUUUUGCUGUUCUUGGCUGUAAAUUAGACUCUGAAAAGUCACUUAACAUAAAAACAGUAACCUCUUCCCAUUCUCCUUCUCCCUGUCGGUUGGUUAAGUGGGCAGGAAGUAAGCAGAUAGUAAAAUCAAAGACAAGAGCUAAUUAUUUAAGAAGGAGGAAAAAAAAAUCGGUGGUUGAAAAACAAUGUCCAUGAUCCUUAGAAUUAGAAAAUAUACACGGCUUCAUUAAUAUUUCUUUAAACAUAUAAAGGCUUUGUUGCAGACACACGGGGCUGGAAUUCUGGUUCCGCCACCCAACCUAUUUGACCUUGGAUGAAUCAAAACCGUCUGAGCCUUAGCUUCCUCCUCCAUAAAAUGGGAGCUUUAAAAUCCACCUUAUAAAGCUGUUAUGAGGAGCAGACGUGAUCAUCUAUGGAGAGCAUGUAUAUUUGCCAAUAGACGAAAAAUGCAAUGAAUGAUUACAAUUAGAACCCAUGCAGUCAGCUAACAUUAGAGGCACUCCUUGCCAUUUCUUGUUGCUACCAUACUUUAUUAUUUUAAAGUGUAUUCCUGGUCAGGCAUGUGGCUCACACCUGUAAUCUCAGCACUUUGGGAGGCCAAGGCAGGAGGAUCACUUGAGGCCAGGAGAUUGAAACCAGCCUGGGCAACAAAACGAGACCCCUUCUCUAUAAAGAAAUGAAAAUUAGUUGGGCAUAGUGGUGUGCACCUGUAGUCCCAGCUACUAGGGAGGCUGAGGCAGGAGGAUCACUUGAGCCCAGGAGUCUAAGGCUGCAGCGAGCUAUGAUCUCACCACUGCAGUCCAGCCUAGGUAACAGAGUGAGACCCUAUCUCUAAAGAAAAAAAUAAAGAAAAUGAAGCUAUUGGGUUUAUUUAUUAUUUAUUUAUUUAUUUAUUGCCUGUUUGCUUGUAUGUUAGGGAAAGAAGGGCCACACAGUGGAAAGAUAUUUAAGGAUGUAAAUCAUUAUGUUCUCAUUAACUUACUGUGUUCUCUCUCUAUUGGGAAUAAAGUAAUAUUUAAGACUAAAUUAACUAAUAUGAGCAAAUCGUGAUUAACUACAUAUAUCACUUGAUUCCAACAUGCCAUAUAUUUCCUCUUCCUGACUGCAUGUAUCAAUGUAUACUAGACUUUGGUAUAUAUGCGUUUAUCUGCAUUACAUUAUAGUUUAAGGCAUAUUUUAAAUUCAAUCUUGAAUGGAAAUUCAGUUUUAUUGGAUGAAAUAAUAACGAAAUUUAGGAAGGCAAUCCGAUCCUAACGUUUAAGACAGUUAAUGAAUCAACUGAGAUUAAUUCAUUACAACACAAAUAUUUAUUGAGAUAUUUAUG